rnacentral:rRNA from 1 species
AAGCUCGUAGUUGAAUUUCGGGGUUAGUAGGUUGGUCAUGCCUCUGGUAUGUACUGGUCUCACUGAUUCCUCCUUCCUUGUGAACCGUAAUGCCAUUAAUUUGGUGUUGCGGGGAAUUUGGACUGUUACUUUGAAAAAAAUUAGAGUGUUUAAAGCAAGCUAACGCUUGAAUACAUUAGCAUGGAAUAAUGAAAUAGGACGUUCGAUCUUAUUUUGUUGGUUUUCUAGGAUUGACGUAAUGAUUAAUAGGGAUAGUUGGG